GAUAUUAGAAUUAGCGGUGAACAUUAUUUAUGUAAAUUGCAUGUAUUCACAAGAGAAAAGAAAUUGUUUUAUCAGUGACUGCAUUUUUCAUUAUAUGGAGUAAAUGGGAAAUAUUGUAAUGUUUCCUGUUGAAUUUAGCUACAUUGUAUGUUGAAAAUCUUUUUAUUAGUAUGAUUGUAAUUUUGAUGGUAAGAUUAUUGAAAACUUGUCUUAGCAAGAACUUCAGAGUAAUAUGCUUAAAUCGAAGCACCAAAUACCCAUAGGGUUUGAAAGCCUGAUUUGUACAUUGUUCGUCGUAGAAGUGAACAUAAAAAGAUGCUCUUGUAACAACACAUUCCAAGCUAUGGUAAUUUAUUGGCUUUUUUCAUUUUAUAAAGUGGUUAUUACAUGGCUAGUAUCAGGUGGUCUGAAACAAGACCUAGCUUGAGCUUAUCUGAACAAGCACUGAAUCACUAUAUGCAUUGUACACUUAACUACAAAUAGAUGAAUAUAUUACUUGAUGAACUUGGUAACCAUUAGUUAUCUUGCAGAUGUUGGGUAGAAAUACUUACCACGCUUUACAAAUCCCAACAGAACUGUUUAAUUUUGAGUUGUGGAUGUACGUCAUUUGCGGGAGUUGUUGCUCUUUGUCCAUAUGCACACUACACGUUACGCUGGUAACGAGACUGGGACUGGGGAAUGCACUUGUCUGUGACUAAAGUACACGUGUGUGUGUGAAGUUUGUUGCUAAUCGUAUACUGAUAUAGCUCUCCAUCGUGCAAUAUUAACCUAGAUCAAAUAUGUUUGGCCAAAUUGAUAACUUGUGAAGAAAAAAAGUGUUCAUUCAAUAAAUGUACAAGCUGCAGAAAUCAGAAUCACGCUAACUCUACAAAAUUGUAAACAAAAAGAAAACAGUUGGAAAAUGAUAUCAUUAAGGUAUUUCCCCGUGUCGGUAGGUUGUAUUCUGACAUAUAAUUAUGUAUGGAUGAAGGAUGUAAAAUUGAAUUUGACAUUUACUAAUAUUUCUUUUCCUGAAACUGUGAACAUGCUGUUUUGUAUUCUCUAUGUCUGGUGAAUGAUUUGACAUUUUUUGUUGCUCUCAUGCUGUGUACGAAAUAUGCCCAUAUAAUACCCUUGUUCAGUUACUGUCAAAUUUUGUUUAAAAUUAACUGCUAUUUAAUUCAAAUGCAAAAUUGUCUGGAAGUGGUUCAUUUGCUACAGAUGUUGAUGAUUUUAUACCAGACAAUAAAACAUUGUUACUCU
rnacentral:misc_RNA from 1 species